rnacentral:misc_RNA from 1 species
AGUACAUAUCGGUUGAACAGUUUCAUAAACUACGAAAAAUAGACUCAGGUGUCGCUAGUUGCGUCGUCUAUCUCUUUUUGUCAUAUCGCAUUAGAGGAAAAUGGAAGGGCAUUAUUGUAUGUGUAUAUGUACAAUCUUGCGUGGACAUGUGUACUGUACGAAUUCUUUCCUUUCAUUCGUUAUUUGCAGUGUUUCACUUUGUAAGCAUCGCUUUUAUUGCGAUUGAUUUGUUUUUAUUAUAAUUUAGUGAUAGUGGUUUAUAAAGGUACCUUUCUUGUGAGAAACAAGUGAUCCCAUUCUACUGAAUCAAGCUGUGAUAAAAGUGGACAUACAUGAUGAUGAGACGGACACAUCUCGCUAUGUGACCUUUUUACACACUGUGGUUUCUAAAGUGUACAUUAUGCGAUUCUGUCGAAGAUAAUAAAAAACUAAACCGCAGCUACUCGUUUUUUCAAGAAGUUACAAUAGUUUUACAAUGGGGUCGAAAAGGGCUCCGCCAUAAAAUAAUCAACAGGGACAUUUGUCGAUCGUAAAACUACAAUUCAUGAUUUCGAUACAAAAAAAGACAACAGUCGACGAUGGUGAAGCGGCCCCGGAACAAGAGGAGGCCGACAAGCGAUGAUCGGUGGGCUGGAAGCGAUGCAGAAAGAGGUUCCAGCUGGUCCGUCGGAGGAUCACGUCGCGGCACGCUCAGCUAAUGAGCGGCAGAGUGACGCGGCGUGUGAUGUGUGUGUGCGAUGUCGGGCAAGCCCGCGAGUGUGGGCGCGUCGCGAGCGGGUGUGGCGGGCUCGCCGCGCGUGCUGGUGUACGUGGCCGAGCCGCGCCAGCUAGAGGCCGGCGCCGCGGGACCCGAGCCGCCGCCCGCGCGCCACCCGCCGCUCGACGCGCUCUACUUGCCCGAUAACCUGCAGCCUCAUCUCUCGCUGCCCCGCGGGCCUCCUUACAGGCCUAACUUGGAUAGGCCUGAUCACCGAAAUCCUUCCAACGCCAUAUUCUACAAACCAUUGAAUGAAACUGAAGGCAAGUUGAGUGUUUAUGGGGCUGCAGAUGGGGUAGUGCAACGGGCAGACCUGUGUCCGAGUUCCAGGCAGUGUGCCAAAGAGCCCUGUAUAAAAAAUGACAACAGUAGAAAUGCAAGUGACGGUGGCUCUGUUGUGAAGCGUGAUUGUGCAGACCAAUUGGGUAUAGAUUUUUGUGGUGUAGAAACAUUUAAUAGACAGCUACCUGUGGAAACCUUAGAUGCAGCUACAUAUCCAAGAUGCACAAUCCCAGGAAGCUCUGAUAGUACUAUGCAUCCUGUUCAACAGGUAGAAAUUCGGCAUGGUCAAAAUCAAUUCAGUGAGAGUGUGACAGUACACAGUGGUGACAUAGUAAACUGCAGUGACAGAGAGCUAUCUGUGAGUAAGGGCUUUGUGAACUACCAGUUUUUGGAACAGAGUGUGUCACACCAAUCUAUAGUGAAUCAAAGUAUAAGCAUUCUUAAUCAACAAGUGGGUGUAAAUCGUGGAAUUAUCAGUGAAGGUGAUGGUGGCAGUGGUCCCCAAUUAGUUAGAACUGCAGAUGGUAUGGUCCUGGCUGUGUUGCCUGCCCCAGUUAUAGCACAGCCUGGUGACCUGGCAGAGCCUGCCUCCAGGCCGGUGUCUACUGACUCCACACAGACUGUAAUAGUGCCCUUGGGUUGGAGAAGGAUUGUCAAUAGUGCAUCUGUUCUCUAUAUAAGUCCGAGCGGCACAGCAUUGAGUACUCUAUCACAGCUGCGAGAAUAUCUUCAGACGGCUGGCACUUGUAAAUGUGGGUUGCCUUGUCCGUUGAGACCGGAGACUACAUUCAGUUUCGAUCCAAAGGUGGCUAGCAAACCUUAUCAAGCUGUUUCUGGGGCAGAGUUGACGAAAUUGUGCAAUCAUAAACGGAAACUACUGGCAACACUGCAAGCGCGCUCCCAGUCACCCGCUACGCCACCCCCGCAGAAUAUUGAACAAAAAAAAGUCGCGGCUACCGAGUCGACAGCAGUCAAGAAAAAGAUGAAGAAAAGGUCCGGAUUCGCAACUAAUGUGAGUGUCUCCCAAUUAAUGGUGCAGAGGGAACGCUCCCAUGGCGAGAUAAAGUCUCAAGAUUCGGAACCUUGUCGCGAAGUGUCAUCAGCUAUCGCGAUACAGCGCGGGAACAACACGCAACAAUCUUGUCUAUCAACGUUUCCACCAGCGCAACAGGGCGCAGUCUCCCAAGAUGGAGAUAUACGGCAAGAUACCCACGUCCACCGGAGUUCUCACUAUCUCACAGUGAACAGCGGGUGGAUAUCACAACAUCAGGAGAAUUCUGACAAUGGACAGAAGCUCAGCCAGUCUUCUGCUGUAUCAGCUAGUUCCUCUAUUAAUAUUGGAAUGCCGGUUUUAGGCACUAACGGCCAAAUAAUUGGGGUUAAUACUGGACUUAGUAAGCAUUCAAGCUACAAAAAUAUUUCAACCAUUUCUCAGAAUUUAGAAAUUGAACAAAAAGAAGAUAAGAAAGAUGUAACGACGUUGCAAAAUUCCCAUUCUUUAAAUUUAAAACACCCUUACAAAGAGGAAGAAUCACAAAUAUUUUGUGGUUUAAACCAACCGUUAACUCCAGAAGUAAUGCAAAAAAUUAACGAGCAACAACAGAUAUUUAUACAACAAAAUCAGAAGCAAAUUGAAAUGAAAAUGAAAGGUUUUAGGACACAGAUAGAAAAUAUUAGCCAAAAUAAGCAAAGUCAAAGUCAAUAUGUGCCUCAAGCUCAGUUAGUAAUACAGAAUGGUGCAGUGGUUAAAACAAAUCCAGCGAAAACGCCUCCAUGGCAAGUGAAGAGGAAUGACUCUAAUUUCUCUAAUCCUAUAACAAGUCCCGGACCGAAAUUACAAAAACCAGAUAAUACAGAUUACGAUGAAGUUAAUACAAACAUAUCGGAGGAUUCUUCUAGUUCCUACAGCUCGUUCUCGAGUAACGAACAAGCCGUGAAUCAAGCGAUGUGCUCGCGUGUACCUCCGUUACCGCAACACUACACCAUGAUGGGGCAACAAUGGCCUGCCACAGAUACAAACAAGAAAAAGACUAAAGGUAAUAAAGGCGGUAAAAAGAAAAAUAGUCCAGCGGAAAAUAAAGUUGUCACGAUUGGAUGUAACGGAAUGCGCCUCUUACAAGAUGCAAAAGGUAUGCCAUGUGACGAUCUAUCGAGCAAUAAUGUUCCAUCUUUUAUGGAAGACCCUAAUGGAUACUUGGCCCAGCAAACAGUAUUAUUGAAUAAUACUAUUUCGAAACAAGUAGGGAUAAAUUCGUCAUAUGAUAACAAUCAGUAUGAUAAUACUAAUAACAGUUGCUUCGUCACGCAAAACCAGGUGGAGAAAAUCAAGCCCGUUGUAAAAUCUAACGAAAUUUCUAACAUCUACAGACACAAUGUGCCAAAUCCAUCACUUUCUCCGACCAGCAUACCUGACAGUAGCAUGUUACCGGACAACGUUAUGCCUCAGUGUUGUAAGGGUUGUAAUCUAUCAAUGAAGAAUAAUAGCCCUGAGUAUACAGACAAUCAGGUGAGACUUAAAUAUAUGAAGCACAAUGUAUACAAGAUGGAAAUAGAUGGCAGCCAUGCAAUUUCAAGUCCCAAGCAUAGUUAUGAUGAUAAUCCAGUAACAUCGACAUUCAUUGAACGAAGUCCCACGUUGAACGACAACUGCGGUCCUAUACAGGCUGGAACUGUUAGCACCAGCAACGUUUCGCUCACAGAGACUCUUCAACCUCCAGAACCAUCGCCGACGUCAUCAAAUAGUUCAAGGAACACGGACACUCCACAUAGUAGCGGCAGCAAUAGUUCUCAAGUGCUACCUAACGGUUCAUAUCCAGUACCAAGUCCGGCAUGUUCGAAUUCCGGUUCGUGUCGCGACAAUUUUAACAGUAAUCCCCCGACACCAGGCAGCAGUCAAGUUUAUGCUUAUAAUUCCCCUGGACCGCCAAACAACCAGUCUAUUACUGGUACUCAAAUGAUGCAUUUCAUAUCGAAUCAUAACGUGAAUAAAAAUCUCAUGGAAGUAGAUAACAUAUCAACAAUGGUCGGAGUAAAAUCCGGUUUAAAAUCGUCUCCGGAUAUGUAUAGACUAGAAUCUCGAAGACGGAUAGAAAAUACCAUGCCGGGCUACUGUCCCCCUCCGCAUCUUGGCGGAGGUCCAGCCCACUCACUAAUACAAACAUGUUACGUCCAAACAUUUGUAACGACUAUGGCUAGUGGAUUUUCUGUCACUCGAGAUACCGUUACCUCGGUGCUAGCUGGUAAGGCAAAUACUGCAACUACAUCAAUAAAUGCUUCUCAAGCCAAUUUCAUUAGGCCGCCCCCACCGCCAAGCAUCAAUUUAGCCACCACGUACGCAAUACCAAAUAAUCAACCGGAUCCCUUCUUUAAUUCAGUAAACUUACCAACCAGCUAUCCUUUACAUAUAGCUGGAACAACGGCGCAGAGCAUGAUUACUAAAUCACCGCUAGAAAUGGUGCAAAAUGUUAUUGGGAAUUUGCCAGCUAAAUCGGAAACGGGAAUCACACAAUCAGGCUCUCUAUCACAAUUGAGGAAGACAUGUCCAACAACACCUGGCCAAAUUCUCAUAUCCUCGACUGGUCAAAUAAUUGUAUCCAACAAUCAGAUGCCGCCGCCACCCCCUAAGACUACGACCGCAACAUCGGCAAUUCAAAGCUCUGGCGCUGUGACAAAUGUCAGCGCGUCUGUUACUCAAGUUAUACCGACAGUGGGUACGGUACAGCCGAUGGUGAAUCAACCUACAGUGGUGGUGAAUACUUUACCAGCGCCAUUCGUUUUGCAGCCGCCAAUGGUAGCCGUGGACGGCCAAGUCGUACAACAGAAUGCCGUGUUGCCACAAAUUAUGACUGGAGGCAUCGUACCAGGGCAAUCACCGAACGAAAACACCAGGCAGCUCGAUGUUAAAAAUCAUCAUAGUUUCGUGCAGGGUGUAGCCAUGUUGUCUCCAGAGAGCUUAAAAAAGAGAAAUAAGAAAAAGAAGACUCAAUCGCCUAACAUAACGAAUGUUUUACAAAUAGCGGCACCACAGCCGAACCCUAGUAAUAUAAUGGUGCAUCAUACCUCGCCUCAACACAAUACUAGUCCACAAUUUUCACCUAGGAAUUUUCAACUGUCUCCAAAUAACAACAUAUCACCCACACCUAUGCUGCAAGCGCUUACUAUAUUGCCGGGCAAAUCUGGAACUCCAGCUCAUAUAGUAAUGAAUGGACAAGGUAACACAAAUAAUUAUGGUUCCCAGCAAAUAAUCGCCAACACGUCCCCGUCGCAACAAAUAAAUCUGUUACAACCAGUUAACUUAUUGAACAAUGCUAGUGGCGUCAUGCCAAAUUUUCCAGCUUUCCAACAAUUUAUCGUGCCUAAUCUCGGCGGUAUGGUAAUGACUGCCGACGGUACUGCCAUUAUUCAAGAUAAUUCUACCGGAAUGCCUAUGCAGCUUCAACUGCAAGCGGUCAACGGACAGAAUGUCCUUACUCCCAUGCAAAAUUCUAGCGUGUUCGCCACCGGCCCAAACAGUGGAGUUGUCAUUCGAGCUCAGAAUCAACAGAGCAAAAUAAUACAGUCCCAACACAGCCCCGGUGCUCAAUUUUUGUCUCCAAACGGCCAAGUCGUCAUGAAUGGUCCUAAUUUUAAUGGUCAACUGAGCCCGUUGCUCGCUAAUCUCAGUCCGACGAGUGUGACUUUUAACACAGCUGCUCAAAUGCGUCCCGGAAGUGUUCAGACGCAGGAAUACAUCCAGACAAACCAGGCCGGACAGACGCUAAUGGUACCGUUGUCGCCGAAGCGUGUCUCGCUCGCCUCCGCACCCACGAACAGGGGCAAUCCGACAUUCGUCCACCAGAACACGACCAUAGUGCAGCAGCAGACCACUUUGGUAUCCAACUCGCAGGGCGCCGCACAGGUGGCGCUCGCGGCCGCUCCACACGUCCGACCCUUCGGCGACGCGCUCGGCGCCAAGAAUAAGAGCAGGACGCUCGCCGAGGCGGCCGCGGAACACGUCCGCGUUGAGGAAAUCGUCGAACGGAAGAUCAUUGGCGGCGUUCGCCAGCGCCAAGCGGACGGCGACGGCAGGGAUGCGGUCGAUGGACACGCGCGCCACUCGGUGUCCACGCAGACGCUGGUGAACCAGGCGGCGGGCGCGGGCGGGGGCGGGGGCGCGUGCGCGGGCUCGGCGGGCGCGGCGGGCGCGACGGGCAGCCCGCCCGACACCACGACGCACAGCCCGCUGGGCGCGCUGGAGCCGGCGCCGAGCCCGCGGCUGUGCGCGGCGCGGUGCCUCUCCACGCAGGCUAACUACGCCGACACCACCACCGAGUCCCCGGAGCCGGCAGACGCUAACUCCUCGGCAAUGGUGCAGUGCGUGUCCAGCAGCGAGCAGGACAUGGCCGACUCGCGCGACCACUCGUGGUCUGCGCCACGCAAUGACUUCAGCGCAGACAACGACGCGCAAAGUAUGAUUUCAAACAUUACAUUAAUGCGGUCAAAUCGUCCUCACAACACCGUGGAAUCUACCGACAUACAUUACAAUCAAAAUAUGAGCACGCCGUCUAUGAACAACCAACAUAUAAUGGCUAUGACGUCAAAUAGUUAUUACGACCGAACUCACACAUAUAAGAGGAAGAAUGAGUUCGGAGAUGGUUCCACGUACAGAUCGGACAAAAUAAUGAGGACGAACAGUUACAAUGCAAUCCACGGACUACCCAAAGAGUCAGAAUAUGACACGCUUGGUAUUAGCUCUCACGACAAAUCGCACACGCGACAUUUUCCAUCUGGAUCCAGUUCGGAGAUGUCAUCUUUGCCAAAGUUGUUUGACCGACAUUUAGGGUCGGGCGAUGCUUCUACAUAAUGCAAUACUAUUGGUCAUUGGUUUUCUUUUGGUUGGGUUAAUACAAGAUACAGCUGUUAAUAAAGGGUGUACUGGAAACUAAUCAGAAUAAAACAGAGAUGUUCAGCGUUGAAACGUUCUCACCCGGCUUUCUGUCGCUUUCCAUUGCACCACAUUUGAACGUAACCAAAUUGGCUCACAAAUUGGGAUUCCAUUACUAACGCAUCAUUGUUAAGCCAUCAUCAUUUCAUCUGUUCAUCAUUAUACUAAAAGCGAAGACGAAGUCGACGAACGGCCGCAAGAGUCCAGUUGCGACAAACAAACGCACGACUUCGAACCGGGAGACCUAGUGUGGGGGCCCGUGAAGG